rnacentral:tRNA from 1 species
GCGCUCAUAGCUCAGAUGGUAGAGCACGAACCUUCUAAGUUUGUGGUCGCAGGUUCGAGUCCUGCUGGGCGCGC